CGUUAGACGAACGGUCUGGAAAGUCCGACGAUACAGGGUGAUAGUCCCGUAGUUGACGACGUGUGUUCAGUGAAAUCGAGUAGGGCGGGACACGUGAUAUCCUGUCUGAAUAUGGGGGGACCAUCCUCCAAGGCUAAAUACUACUGACUGACCGAUAGUGAACCAGUACCGUGAGGGAAAGGCGAAAAGAACCCCUGUGAGGGGAGUGAAAUAGAACCUGAAACCGUGUACGUACAAGCA
rnacentral:rRNA from 1 species